AAGUUGGCGAACGGGUGAGUAAUACGUGAGUAACCUACCUUUAACUCUGGGAUAAGCCUGGGAAACUGGGUCUAAUACCGGAUACGACCAAUCUCCGCAUGGGGUGUUGGUGGAAAGCGUUAUGUAGUGGUUAUAGAUGGGCUCACGGCCUAUCAGCUUGUUGGUGAGGUAACGGCUCACCAAGGCGACGACGGGUAGCCGGCCUUGAGAGGGUGACCGGCCAAACUGGGACUGAGACACGGCCCAGACUCCUACGGGAGGCAGCAGUGGGGAAUAUUGCACAAUGGGCGCAAGCCUGAUGCAGCGACGCCGCGUGAGGGAUGACGGCCUUCGGGUUGUAAACCUCUGUUAGCAGGGAAGAAGAGAAAUGACGGUACCUGCAGAGAAAGCGCCGGCUAACUACGUGCCAGCAGCCGCGGUAAUACGUAGGGCGCCAGCGUUGUCCGGAAUUAUUGGGCGUAAAGAGCUUGUAGGCGGUUUGUCGCGUCUGCUGUGAAAGGCCGGGGCUUAACCCCGUGUAUUGCAGUGGGUACGGGCAGACUAGAGUGCAGUAGGGGAGACUGGAAUUCCUGGUGUAGCGGUGGAAUGCGCAGAUAUCAGGAGGAACACCGAUGGCGAAGGCAGGUCUCUGGGCUGUAACUGACGCUGAGAAGCGAAAGCAUGGGGAGCGAACAGGAUUAGAUACCCUGGUAGUCCAUGCCGUAAACGUUGGGCACUAGGUGUGGGGAACAUUCCACGUUUUCCGCGCCGUAGCUAACGCAUUAAGUGCCCCGCCUGGGGAGUACGGCCGCAAGGCUAAAACUCAAAGAAAUUGACGGGGGCCCGCACAAGCGGCGGAGCAUGCGGAUUAAUUCGAUGCAACGCGAAGAACCUUACCAAGGCUUGACAUAUACUGGACCGCAUCAGAGAUGGUGUUUCCCUUCGGGGCUGGUAUACAGGUGGUGCAUGGUUGUCGUCAGCUCGUGUCCUGAGAAUGUUGGGUUAAGUCCCGCAACGAGCGCAACCCUCGUUCUAUGUUGCCAGCACGUAAUGGUGGGGACUCAUAGGAAACUGCCAGGAUCAACUCGGAGAGAACGUGGAGAUGACGUCAAAUCAUCAU
rnacentral:rRNA from 2 species